CAAAAAAUCAAUUAUCAAAAUUCCAACCAAACUCUAUGUUGGACGGAUUUGAACAAUGUGUGGGGAGGUGAGAGAGUAGAAAUUUGGUUCCUGUGAAGAGAAGAAGUUGUAGAGCGAGAGAGAAAGAGAGUUAAAGGCACGAACAGUGAGAGCCACUGACGCCAUUCUCCACCUGAAAAUUUCAGCUUCCUUUCUCUCUGUCCUACCGGUGGAGCC
rnacentral:lncRNA from 1 species